CUCAAAGGAAUUGACGGGGACCCGCACAAGCGGUGGAUGAUGUGGUUUAAUUCGAUGCAACGCGAAAAACCUUACCCACCUUUGACAUGUACGGAAGUUGCCAGAGAUGGCUUCGUGCUCGAAAGAGAACCGUAACACAGGUGCUGCAUGGCUGUCGUCAGCUCGUGUCGUGAGAUGUUGGGUUAAGUCCCGCAACGAGCGCAACCCUUGUCAUUAGUUGCUACAUUUAGUUGGGCACUCUAAUGAGACUGCCGGUGACAAACCGGAGGAAGGUGGGGAUGACGUCAAGUCCUCAUGGCCCUUAUAGGUGGGGCUACACACGUCAUACAAUGGCUGGUACAAAGGGUUGCCAACCCGCGAGGGGGAGCUAAUCCCAUAAAGCCAGUCGUAGUCCGGAUCGCAGUCUGCAACUCGACUGCGUGAAGUCGGAAUCGCUAGUAAUCGUGGAUCAGAAUGUCACGGUGAAUACGUUCCCGGGUCUUGUACACACCGCCCGUCACACCAUGGGAGCGGGUUCUGCCAGAAGUAGUUAGCCUAACCGCAAGGAGGGCGAUUACCACGGCAGGGUUCGUGACUGGGGUGAAGUCGUAACAAGGUAACC
rnacentral:rRNA from 1 species